rnacentral:miRNA from 1 species
GGGAGGUGGAGGCUGCAGUAAGUCGAGAUCAUGCCACUGCACUCCAGCCUGAGUGACAGAGCAAGACUCUGUCUC